ACCCUUUAACGACCAGAGAUCCCAUUUGGGAUCUUUAAAACAGCUACUUUUGGGUAGUCGUGGUGAACAAGUUUGAGCUUGUAUGAAAUUGACGCUUUGGCAACUCAUAGCUACACUCCUCUGCUCUUCGAAUCAACCAAUCAGAAGCCACCAGGCCCUCGCACAAAGACUGGAGGGCCUUCGACAGACACCUCAGUCGUGCGCAAGUUGGAAAACAGUCAAGACGUGCCGCAGUAACCUCCAAGUUUCCCCCCCCCUCCGAACUUCGUAAUCAUGUUUCAAAGCAGUAUGUUUUAUGGGCAACGCAAUGCUGCAUUGGAGACUCAGGAACGUGUACCAUGGGUAGCCCCUGACGACGCUGAAGGAAGUGAUGUCGACGUGAGCCCUUUGGACAUUGACAGUGAUGAUGACGACCCUACCUACGUUCCUGACGAAGGCCUUACUCAGGACGAUGCCUUGACCCUCCUAACUCUAGAGCUCGCAAGGUCAAUGUUGUUGUCCCUCAAGCGAUGCCUAUGGAAGAGGAAGGUGAGCCUAACCCUAAGAGGUCUCGUGCUGAUGAAUGGAAGAAGGAAGACAUUGAUAUCCGUGCCCUGCCCAACUUCAUUCAUCAGAAGCCUGACUAUUUGAGGGAACCUUAUGAAUAUUUCUCCCAGUUCUUCACAACUGAAUUGAGGGAACACAUUGUGUAUCAAUCCAACCUGUACUCAAGACAGAAGGAUGUAGGCAGCAACUUCCACAUGUCAGAAGAGGAUCUCAUGGUUUUCCUUGGCCUCAUCGUGUACAUGGGCCUGGUUCCUCUCCCUAGCAUAGUUGACUUCUGGGCCGUGAAGACCAGGAUUCCUCAAGUUGCAGACUUCAUGUCCAGGAACCGCUUCAAGGCAAUUCGAUCUUCCCUUCACUUCAGCGACAAUGACCAGGCAGCUGCAUCCCAAGAUCGGUUCUUCAAGGUGAGAGUCCCCUUCACCAAGGUCACCAGAGAGUUCCUGAAAGUUCCUGAG